AUGCAAGUCGAGCGAACAGAUGAGAAGCUUGCUUCUUUGAUGUUAGCGGCGGACGGGUGAGUAACACGUGGGUAACCUACCUAUAAGACUGGGAUAACUCCGGGAAACCGGGGCUAAUACCGGAUAAUAUAUUGAACCGCAUGGUUCAAUGUUGAAAGACGGUUUCGGCUGUCACUUAUAGAUGGACCCGCGCCGUAUUAGCUAGUUGGUAAGGUAACGGCUUACCAAGGCAACGAUACGUAGCCGACCUGAGAGGGUGAUCGGCCACACUGGAACUGAGACACGGUCCAGACUCCUACGGGAGGCAGCAGUAGGGAAUCUUCCGCAAUGGGCGAAAGCCUGACGGAGCAACGCCGCGUGAGUGAUGAAGGUCUUAGGAUCGUAAAACUCUGUUGUUAGGGAAGAACAAAUUUGUUAGUAACUGAACAAGUCUUGACGGUACCUAACCAGAA
rnacentral:rRNA from 2 species